rnacentral:rRNA from 1 species
UACAGGGGGGGGCAAGCGUUUGUUCGGAAUUACUGGGCGUAAAGGGCUCGUAGGCGGCCAACUAAGUCACACGUGAAAUCCCCAGGCUCAACCUGGGAACUGCGUGUGAUACUGGAUGGCUUGAAUUCGGGAGAGGGAUGCAGAAUCCAGGUGUAGCGGUGAAAUGCGUAGAUAUCUGGAGGAAUACCGGUGGCGAAGGCGGCAUCCUGGACCGACAUUGACGCUGAUGAGCGAAAGCUAGGGGAGCAAACGGG